CUCUAUAGUAAACUGGAACGACUGAAACACUGGAAACUGAGCCUGCGAUGCGCUAACGCAAACUCGAUUUCUCGACGACGAAAAAACAGAAGAAAAAAAACAGGAAAAAAACAGAUAUUUAGGGAUUUAAGACACUUGACCUUUCAGGUCAGUGUAAAAAGCCAAACACAUUACAGAAAAUGUAAAGAAAAUGCUUUAUUGCGAGGGGUCGGAAAAUAUAAACAGAUUGUUAAUUUAUUAAAUCGUCAAUUAUAAAUAGUCAAUUUGCGUC